rnacentral:rRNA from 1 species
AUUGAACGCUGGCGGCAGGCCUAACACAUGCAAGUCGAGCGGAUGAAGGGAGCUUGCUCCUGGAUUCAGCGGCGGACGGGUGAGUAAUGCCUAGGAAUCUGCCUGGUAGUGGGGGAUAACGUCCGGAAACGGGCGCUAAUACCGCAUACGUCCUGAGGGAGAAAGUGGGGGAUCUUCGGACCUCACGCUAUCAGAUGAGCCUAGGUCGGAUUAGCUAGUUGGUGGGGUAAAGGCCUACCAAGGCGACGAUCCGUAACUGGUCUGAGAGGAUGAUCAGUCACACUGGAACGGAGACACGGUCCAGACUCCUACGGGAGGCAGCAGUGGGGAAUAUUGGACAAUGGGCGAAAGCCUGAUCCAGCCAUGCCGCGUGUGUGAAGAAGGUCUUCGGAUUGUAAAGCACUUUAAGUGGGGAGGAAGGGCAGUAAGUUAAUACCUUGCUGUUUUGACGUUACCAACAGAAUAAGCACCGGCUAACUUCGUG